CUCGCGGGUCCGAGCCAGCACCUUGAACCGCGCCCGGAAGCAGUGGGGAGGCAGCGCGGAGCCUGGCGCUGCAGGCACGAGUGGACCCAGACGGCAGCCACCGCCGCGGAGAGCGCCCGGCAGCACCGCAGCCCACGUCGGUCUGGGAGAGGGGGCCUGGGCAGCGAUGGCUGGAAGCUGUGACAGCUCGGCCAGACCGACGCAUGAAAUCAAAAUGACCAAAUGGAAAUAGCGGUGCAUCUUGCACGAGAGCGCACGAGGGUGGCUGGGACCGUGCGCAGAAAAGCAAGUCCAACCAAUCGCAUUCUCUGGGCCAGAUUCUGCCAAAUCAUCAGAGUGGCUGUAAUCGCCCAAAAGUUUUAAUAGAAAGGAAAGAAACCCUCCCGCAUAAGAGACAGCGAGCGGCUGGGGCAAAACUGGAUUGUGGCGACAAGGCCACCAUGAGGAAGACCAGACCCGCUCAGCGUAAAGAAAGCGGAGCUCGCGGCACGCAAUACCAGACCCACGCCGAAAGAUGAUAGCAGUCGCAGUGAAGGCCGGGGCAAGGGUGGAUGAGGGCAGUGAGAGCGCUGUCUAGAAGCGCUGGUGAGUGAGGUAGGCCUCAGCCCUCUUCCACCCCCGAGCCUCAAAAUCAAAGUGACAGUUCCUCUAAAAGGAAAGUUGUUGGCAGAGACCUGACACACUCGUCGCAUGUAUAUCCGAGCCAAGAGAGAGAGAAGGGCACAGGGGCUGCAUCCAGUGAGCGCGGCCUCGCGGUGUGCGGUGCUGCAAACAUGUUUGCGGUGCCACACACCACACGUUUAGAUGUUCUCUGCGCUGCAAGGGCAUGCGCUGCUCCGCUUUUAUUUUUUCUACAGGUUUGGUCAAAAAAACCCACGGAAAAAAAAAAAGCAGAGCAGCGCAUGCACGGGCAGCGCGCACCACUCCAGCGCAGAGCCGGGCCGUCCAGAGCCGCAGCCAGGAUCCACGCGGCAGAAUCACCGCUGCUGCUGCAGCCCCGGGAGACCCCCAGGACCCUGCGUAGCCAGCUGGGGCCAGCCCAGUGCGGUCCCAGCCUCCCUACCCCAAAAGUGGCUUGCAAGAAUAUAUGAAAGGGUCGCAAACAAACUUUAAAAAUGGAUUAAAAACCAUGGGAAACCCUCUCAAAAAAGGUUGAGAGUAUCCCCCUAGGCCAGGGGUGGGCAAAAUGCAGCCCCGGGGCUGGAUGCGGCCUACCAGGCCAUUCUAUCCGGCCCACGGGGCCCCUAAAAAUUUAGAAAAUUAAUAUUUCUCUGCACUGGGCUGCCUGUCAUGUGGCCCGUGAUAGCUUGCCAAAAACAUAGCUUGCCUCUGCCCAAAAUAAUUGCCUUCCCCUGCACCCCGUCACAUCUGAUGGACUUACAACUUCCAGACCAGUCAGAAACUGCAAGGAAAACCAGCUUCGCAUCUGGACAGAUCCAAACCCACAAUUCAAGCAGUUAGCAGUUGUAAUGUGAUAAUUCCCCCUUCCUCCCUGUUUUGUUCAGACUUUCAUUUGACCAGCCAUCAAGGAGAAAUGCUUUGAGGCGAUCCAAUCAAGCUGCCAGCAAGGUGUGCAGUCCAGGAGGGAGCUGGAGAAAUCCCGCUUGGUGAAGGCUGCAAAAAGACUGGAACAGCUUCCUGCCGGCAUGGGCAGCCUUGGUGCCGGCUGGAGUUGGUGAGAGGCUCCCAGCCGAGACCCGGGCGCAGCAGAGGAUGCAGGAGCAGCCCCAGGUUGCAAACUGCAGAGCCCGGAGGAGGCUGAACCCCAGCAGUGCCAGGUGUCCCACGGUCGCACGGUCUGCUCACCGAUUCGGACUCAGAUUCACCUGCACCCAGUCUCCGGCUGCAGCCAGGCAUCGGGAAAGGAUGGAGACCAGGUUCAGAGGCAGAACUGCAUGGGGUCACGAUACUGAUGCACCUCGUUCCACGCUUUAUAAUCCCAGGGUUUGCAGCACAGUGCAGCAUUUAAUGCAGGGCUAAUGAUCCAGUCACAUGAGACGUAUGGAAUAACCGCGGCGCAGGCUCCGGGGCCUGGUGCAAGAGGCAUGGGCCCGACCCACCUCCACACCCAGGCACGGGUGGCCGGGCUGCAGCCGGGUCAGCUGGCACUGUGCUGACCAGAAGAUCCCCACCGAUGGGCCAAAGCCCAGGAGCAAUGGGUUAAAACUGGGCCAGAAGACGUGGAGCGGGGUGUGCAUGCUGGGACGCUGGAAAGAGGUCCAGAUGCUCUCCCCGCUGUCGGAGCACCAGGGGAGGAGCUGGACACUCUCCACCCUCAAGAGGAAGCCGGCCGCCUUCCCCGUGGCCAGACCGCCCGGGGAAGCGCUGGACGCUCUCCCCGCUGCUGCCAGCCUCGGCCACGUUCAAGGGGCCCAGGCCAAGCUGCAGAAGUGCCGCUAAGCAGAUGGCCCAAAGCCCAUUUGUGAGUGACCGCAGUGUGAAGUUCAGCAGAUGUGACAGCUCACUUGGUCAGCAGGUAAAGGAAACCAUCGAACACAACUGAACAAAGCACAAGGCCGAAAAGGAGAUAAGGGAAGACCAUACAUUACAUACUUCAUAUACCCUAUAUCAUAGCUUUAUCUUAAGUAGUAGUAGUAGCGAGCGAUGUAACCAAAUGUAUUAGAUGUUAUUUUGCCAUAAUAGAUAUAUUUUUGUUAAAUGCUUAGAUAAUUUGUAAAAACAAAAACAGCCUGUCAGAGAAGACCAUAAAGUCAGGUAAAAAAGAAACAGAAACGGCAUUCCAGCACGGGGAAGGAAAGGAGAGAAGAACCCCUCCCUCUUUCCCAAGGACAUAAAUCCCAAAUAAUUGGCACCUUCCAAGUCCACAAAAGAUCUGGCUCAGUCCCGUUCCAAUAGUUUCAGUGAAACCAAGAAAUGUAAAUAACACCAAUCAGAGAUCACUUAUUAGAAUAUUAAAACCUGCCAUCUAUAAAUAAUGGGCAUGGGCUGGAGGGAAAUUUGGGAAAUUCAGCAAAUUCAAGAAGACCUGCUGCCAAUCUGCUUGCCACCCUCCUCCCACCUCGCGAGUCUCCCAGCGGGGGUAGGUGCGCGACUGUGUCGUGCAGGCGCAGGCACCCAGACAGACUCGGGGAUAAAUGUUUGUUCUCAUGUUUUAAGGUGCAAGCAAAUAAAAGGCUGGGUGUU